UCAUAGUCAAAAGAAGAGUUUGAUCCUGGCUCAGAAGGAACGCGGGAUAUAUGCUUAACACAUGCAAGUCGAACGUUGUUUUCGAGGAGCUGGGCAGAAGGAAAAGCGGCUCC
rnacentral:rRNA from 2 species